GCCUAGCCCUAAAUCCUGAUGCUUACCGUACCAAAGCAUCCGCCUGGGAACUACGAGCACAAACGCUUAAAACUCUAAGGACUUGGCGGUGUCCCAAACCCACCUAGAGGAGCCUGUUCUAUAAUCGAUAACCCACGAUUCACCCGACCACCUCUUGCCAGAGCAGCCUACAUACCGCCGUCGCCAGCUCACCUCCCCUGAGAGCCCAACAGUGAGCACAAUAGCCCAACCCACU
rnacentral:rRNA from 1 species